rnacentral:rRNA from 1 species
GAUGAACGCUGGCGGCGUGCCUAAUACAUGCAAGUCGAGCGAACAGAUGAGGAGCUUGCUCCUCUGACGUUAGCGGCGGACGGGUGAGUAACACGUGGAUAACCUACCUAUAAGACUGGGAUAACUUCGGGAAACCGGAGCUAAUACCGGAUAAUAUAUUGAACCGCAUGGUUCAAUAGUGAAAGACGGUUUUGCUGUCACUUAUAGAUGGAUCCGCGCCGCAUUAGCUAGUUGGUAAGGUAACGGCUUACCAAGGCAACGAUGCGUAGCCGACCUGAGAGGGUGAUCGGCCACACUGGAACUGAGACACGGUCCAGACUCCUACGGGAGGCAGCAGUAGGGAAUCUUCCGCAAUGGGCGAAAGCCUGACGGAGCAACGCCGCGUGAGUGAUGAAGGUCUUCGGAUCGUAAAACUCUGUUAUUAGGGAAGAACAAAUGUGUAAGUACCUAGGCACGUCUUGACGGUACCUAAUCAGAAAGCCACGGCUAACUACGUG